rnacentral:rRNA from 1 species
CUGCCCUUAGUUGCCACUCUUCGGAGGGCACUCUAAGGGGACCGCCGGCGAUGAGCCGAGGAAGGUGGGGAUGACGUCAGGUCAGUAUGCCCUUUAUGCCCGGGGCUACACAGGCGCUACAGUGGCCAGGACAAUGGGAAGCGACCCAGUAAUGGGGAGCAAAUCCCUAAACCUGGUCAUGGUGCAGAUUGAGGGCUGAAACUCGCCCUCAUGAAGCCGGAAUCGGUAGUAAUGGCGGAUCAGCUAAGCCGCCGUGAAUACGUUCUCGGGCCUU